GGGUCGCCUCUGAACGUGUCCCAACCGGGGACUGAACCUGCAACCUGUAUGCCUUUUGAGUUCAAUCCUAAAUAUUAGUGCCUGAAAGGUUACAAAAUCUAUUUUUAUUUGGGAGGCACUCGGGCA